rnacentral:rRNA from 1 species
GAUGAACGCUGGCGGCGUGCCUAAUACAUGCAAGUCGAGCGAACGGACGAGAAGCUUGCUUUUCUGAUGUUAGCGGCUGACGGGUGAGUAACACGUGGAUAACCUACCUAUAAGACUGGGAUAACUUCGGGAAACCGGAGCUAAUACCGGAUAAUAUUUUGAACCGCAUGGUUCAAAAGUGAAAGACGGUCUUGCUGUCACUUAUAGAUGGAUCCGCGCUGCAUUAGCCAGUUGGUAAGGUAACGGCUUACCAAGGCAACGAUGCAUAGCCGACCUGAGAGGGUGAUCGGCCACACUGGAACUGAGACACGGUCCAGACUCCUACGGGAGGCAGCAGUAGGGAAUCUUCCGCAAUGGGCGAAAGCCUGACGGAGCAACGCCGCGUGAGUGAUGAAGGUCUUCGGAUCGUAAAACUCUGUUAUUAGGGAAGAACAUAUGUGUAAGUAACUGUGCACAUCUUGACGGUACCUAAUCAGAAAGCCACGGCUAACUACGUG